CCUUGGCAGUCAGAGGCGAUGAAAGACGUGGUAGCCUGCGAAAAGCUUCGGGGAGUCGGCAAACAGACUUUGAUCCGGAGAUCUCUGAAUGGGGGAACCCACCUAGGAUAACCUAGGUAUCUUGUACUGAAUCCAUAGGUGCAAGAGGCGAACCAGGGGAACUGAAACAUCUAAGUACCCUGAGGAAAAGAAAUCAACCGAGAUUCCCUUAGUAGUGGCGAGCGAACGGGGAUUAGCCCUUAAGCUUCAUUGAUUUUAGCGGAACGCUCUGGAAAGUGCGGCCAUAGUGGGUGAUAGCCCCGUACGCGAAAGGAUCUUUGAAGUGAAAUCGAGUAGGACGGAGCACGAGAAACUUUGUCUGAACAUGGGGGGACCAUCCUCCAAGGCUAAAUACUACUGACUGACCGAUAGUGAACCAGUACCGUGAGGGAAAGGCGAAAAGAACCCCGGAGAGGGGAGUGAAAUAGAACCUGAAACCGUAUGCGUACAAGCAGUGGGAGCCUACUUGUUAGGUGACUGCGUACCUUUUGUAUAAUGGGUCAGCGACUUAUAUUCAGUGGCAAGCUUAACCGUAUAGGGUAGGCGUAGCGAAAGCGAGUCUUAAUAGGGCGUUUAGUCGCUGGGUAUAGACCCGAAACCGGGCGAUCUAUCCAUGAGCAGGUUGAAGGUUAGGUAACACUGACUGGAGGACCGAACCCACUCCCGUUGAAAAGGUAGGGGAUGACUUGUGGAUCGGAGUGAAAGGCUAAUCAAGCUCGGAGAUAGCUGGUUCUCCUCGAAAGCUAUUUAGGUAGCGCCUCAUGUAUCACUCUGGGGGGUAGAGCACUGUUUCGGCUAGGGGGUCAUCCCGACUUACCAAACCGAUGCAAACUCCGAAUACCCAGAAGUGCCGAGCAUGGGAGACACACGGCGGGUGCUAACGUCCGUCGUGAAAAGGGAAACAACCCAGACCGCCAGCUAAGGUCCCAAAGUUGUGGUUAAGUGGUAAACGAUGUGGGAAGGCUUAGACAGCUAGGAGGUUGGCUUAGAAGCAGCCAUCCUUUAAAGAAAGCGUAAUAGCUCACUAGUCGAGUCGGCCUGCGCGGAAGAUGUAACGGGGCUCAAACCACACACCGAAGCUGCGGGUGUCACGUAAGUGACGCGGUAGAGGAGCGUUCUGUAAGCCUGUGAAGGUGAGUUGAGAAGCUUGCUGGAGGUAUCAGAAGUGCGAAUGCUGACAUGAGUAACGACAAUGGGUGUGAAAAACACCCACGCCGAAAGACCAAGGGUUCCUGCGCAACGUUAAUCGACGCAGGGUUAGUCGGUUCCUAAGGCGAGGCUGAAAAGCGUAGUCGAUGGGAAACAGGUUAAUAUUCCUGUACUUCUGGUUACUGCGAUGGAGGGACGGAGAAGGCUAGGCCAGCUUGGCGUUGGUUGUCCAAGUUUAAGGUGGUAGGCUGAAAUCUUAGGUAAAUCCGGGGUUUCAAGGCCGAGAGCUGAUGACGAGUCGUCUUUUAGAUGACGAAGUGGUUGAUGCCAUGCUUCCAAGAAAAGCUUCUAAGCUUCAGGUAACCAGGAACCGUACCCCAAACCGACACAGGUGGUCGGGUAGAGAAUACCAAGGCGCUUGAGAGAACUCGGGUGAAGGAACUAGGCAAAAUGGCACCGUAACUUCGGGAGAAGGUGCGCCGGCUAGGGUGAAGGAUUUACUCCGUAAGCUCUGGCUGGUCGAAGAUACCAGGCCGCUGCGACUGUUUAUUAAAAACACAGCACUCUGCAAACACGAAAGUGGACGUAUAGGGUGUGACGCCUGCCCGGUGCCGGAAGGUUAAUUGAUGGGGUUAGCGCAAGCGAAGCUCUUGAUCGAAGCCCCGGUAAACGGCGGCCGUAACUAUAACGGUCCUAAGGUAGCGAAAUUCCUUGUCGGGUAAGUUCCGACCUGCACGAAUGGCGUAACGAUGGCGGCGCUGUCUCCACCCGAGACUCAGUGAAAUUGAAAUCGCUGUGAAGAUGCAGUGUAUCCGCGGCUAGACGGAAAGACCCCGUGAACCUUUACUGUAGCUUUGCACUGGACUUUGAGCCUGCUUGUGUAGGAUAGGUGGGAGGCUUUGAAGCGUGGACGCCAGUUCGCGUGGAGCCAUCCUUGAAAUACCACCCUGGCAUGCUUGAGGUUCUAACUCUGGUCCGUAAUCCGGAUCGAGGACAGUGUAUGGUGGGCAGUUUGACUGGGGCGGUCUCCUCCUAAAGAGUAACGGAGGAGUACGAAGGUGCGCUCAGACCGGUCGGAAAUCGGUCGCAGAGUAUAAAGGCAAAAGCGCGCUUGACUGCGAGACAGACACGUCGAGCAGGUACGAAAGUAGGUCUUAGUGAUCCGGUGGUUCUGUAUGGAAGGGCCAUCGCUCAACGGAUAAAAGGUACUCCGGGGAUAACAGGCUGAUACCGCCCAAGAGUUCAUAUCGACGGCGGUGUUUGGCACCUCGAUGUCGGCUCAUCACAUCCUGGGGCUGAAGCCGGUCCCAAGGGUAUGGCUGUUCGCCAUUUAAAGUGGUACGCGAGCUGGGUUUAGAACGUCGUGAGACAGUUCGGUCCCUAUCUGCCGUGGACGUUUGAGAUUUGAGAGGGGCUGCUCCUAGUACGAGAGGACCGGAGUGGACGAACCUCUGGUGUUCCGGUUGUCACGCCAGUGGCAUUGCCGGGUAGCUAUGUUCGGAAAAGAUAACCGCUGAAAGCAUCUAAGCGGGAAACUUGCCUCAAGAUGAGAUCUCACUGGGAACUUGAUUCCCCUGAAGGGCCGUCGAAGACUACGACGUUGAUAGGCUGGGUGUGUAAGCGUUGUGAGGCGUUGAGCUAACCAGUACUAAUUGCCCGUGAGGCUUGACCAU
rnacentral:rRNA from 1 species